AUUGAACGCUGGCGGCAGGCCUAACACAUGCAAGUCGAACGAGUGGCGGACGGGUGAGUAAUGUCUGGGAAACUGCCUGAUGGAGGGGGCUAACUACUGGAAACGGUAGCUAAUACCGCAUACCAUCAGAUGUGCCCAGAUGGGAUUAGCUAGUUGGGGGGGUAAAGGCUCACCUAGGCGACGAUCCCUAGCUGGUCUGAGAGGAUGACCGGCCAACCUGGAAAUGAGACACGGUCCAGACUCCUACGGGAGGCAGAAGGGGGGAAUAUUGCACAAGGGGAGCAAGCCGUAUGCAGCCAUGCCGCUUGUAUGAAGAAGGCCUUGGGGGUGUAAAGUACUUUCAGUGGGGAGGCGUUACCCGCAGAAGAAGCACCGGCUAACUCCGUGCCAGCAGCCGCGGUAAUUC
rnacentral:rRNA from 1 species